CUAAAUUUUCUCAGUAUAUUGCAUACACGUUCAAAACAGUUUGACAAUGGUGAUCAAAUGGUUUUUUUUCCUAUACAAUUUUGAUUUACUAAUUUAUUCUUUGUUUUUUUCCUCUUUCAAUCUUCUCUGUCAAAAGAAACAUAUUUUUAUCUCUCUCAGAUCAAAACAUCGACAUGUUUCUUCUGUCUUUUUUUUUUUCCAUGUACCAAUUCAAACGUCUUUGUUCUUUCCCUCUAUACCAAUUUAAAACUUUAUUUAUCAUCGCUGACUCAAUCGACAAGAUAUAAAAUUACGAGAAGAUAAGAGAUUGGCAAUGGCACAUGCACAAUGCACUGGGUUUGAAGAGAUGGGAAGAAGCAAAAUCAAAAAUAUUCUCCUAGAAUGGGACUAAAGGGAUAAUCAUCAUUGUUUGGCCUCGCAAAGAAGCAUUCACUACAGCAGUUGAUUCAACCCUAAAACUAUUUUUGGAUAUAUCACAGAGCUUGCAUUUUCAAAUCCAAAGGUAAGUUUACUUUACUUAAUUAAUUAUUGCUAGACAAUUCAUUAUAAUUUAAUAAAAAUCAAACUAACGGUGUAAAAAAUUUAAUAAUUUUUAAACAAAAAUCUUAUAAAUUUAACAAACUAUGAAAAUAAGUAAUGUGGGUUACUUUGAAAUGAGUGCUCUUACAAAAAGAUGUUAGGUAAAUUAAUUAACAUAAAAUAUAAAUGUAACAGUUAUUUUAAACUGUAAAAAAAUAAAUUAGCAAAUCUAUUAGAUUCAUUUUAUUUAAAUUUACAGUAAAUUAUAUUAAGUAUAUGUUAUUAUAAAAUCAUCAAACAAAAUAAAGGGAUCAAAUAAAUCAUUUUAAUUAUAUUUUAUAUUUUGUUAUUUUAAAAAGUUUUACAAACAUAUAUCCAUUUUAUAGUGAUAUCUGUUUUACCCCUUCAACUGCUUUGUUUCAAUGUAGGAACCUCUAUUAUUAUGUGCUACUGUUUAUAUAAUAGUUCAAACUAGGUUAAGACCGACAUUAUAUAUAAAAAUUAUUUUAUGUAUUAAAUAUUUUUACAUAUUAUAAAAUAAUAAAUAUAUAUUAAAUAAUUAAAAG